ensembl:lncRNA
UGGCACUGACCCACCUGAGAAGGCUGGGGAGGGUGUGGUAAUCAUGAAAGCUUGAAGGCCAAGACAGAGGAUCUUCAGGAAGAGGCAGAGCUCAGCACCUGCGUCUCCCAGUAGUUUGUGCCUCAGAUUUCUUGUUCUGGACGUCCUCCAUGCCUGUUUUCUGAAGCUACCUGGAAACCAGUGACUAUCCCAACAAAAAAUGUCUAAAAUCCUCCUGUAUUACUUAGGCCUUUAAAGGUGUUUGAUUUCUUCCCCCACCGUGGCCCACCUGCACAGGAGUUCCUCUUUGAGGGCAACAAGCAUGGAGGCUGAGAGUUAAUGAUUAGACCCACAUUCUUGCACAAAAGGAAACCAAAUCAGAACCAGACUAACCAGAGGAGGCUGAAGAAAAUUAAUAGGUGGCAGAAAACCUUAUAAAAAGAAAACAAGGGAACUUUGCUGCAGAACAACAGCCCUUCGAAUGUCCGAGUGGGAAGAGACAGAGAGCAUCCUGUCCAACCCCUCCUGUAUUGAAGUAUUCAUUCUUCCUUUCUCUGCUGUCUCAUAAGCAUUUAUAUCAGCUUUCACAAGCUUUCAGCUCCAAUUUAGAAGGUAGCUCCUCAAAGUCAGAGUGACGAUCUCCAAUUUCUUCUUCAUCUUCUACAGCACUCUGCACAUGGCUGGCGUUCAAUAAAUGUUUUUAGAACUCAAAUGUAAGAGGUAUGAGUAAAAACCUUGAACGAGAUAUGUUUUUUCCUUUUUCCUAGAGCCGAAACAGAAAAUGACCGUCUGUUGGUUACAGAUCUGAGGAUAAGCCCCGCCAAGGACGCCGGAUGUGUGCUCACGGACUGUCUGGGCCCGCUGCAUCGAAGGCUUCCCCACCUGGGAUUCCCUCUCAGGUGCUUAAAACCGUGGCUCCUGCCACCACCCCCACAAAGAGGCCAACAGCAGUGCCUGUGCUUGUACGCCUAAAGUGCUUUUUCUCAAAGCUGCAUAUCUUGUCAAAAUUGUUUGCCCACAUCACUGCAAUCUGUGUGCAGGGAAGCCUGAAACAAGUCCGCGUUUGGAAAGCAAUGGAAAGUACAAGAGGUUCUGAAAUUCAUAAGCCUGGGAAAGCAAUGAUUCAGAGAGAAGCUGUCUUCUCAGUUCUUCCAAAUUGAAAGCACUCAAGGCCAUAGAGCAGCUGCUGCUUGCCUAGGCUGGUUCCUAUUGACCUGACUUGACCUUGUGCCUCGUGUUUGAAUUGGGCCCCCAGCCAGGAAACCACAGCCCCCCUCCAAGACCAAGUCUGACCUACACACCUCUCCUCCUCCCUGCGGAAGGACAGCAGGGGAGCCAGGCCGCAGAGAGAGGGCUGAAAGUUGGGUCAAAGGAGUUGCUUUGUUAAAGGGUUAACACCAACGCAGUUAUCUGGGCCUCCUGCCUUCCCUUUCCGCUAAUCUGCUGGCUUCUCAUCCUUUACAUUUUAUAGUUUUUAGUUCCAAUUACAGGUGAUUAAUAAUUAAAUGAUUGCUAAUUCUUUUCGAUCCCCUGGAAGUCACGACAAUCUAAGCAAUGGUGGUACAAUCGUGGCCUGAGAGGGAGAUUGAGACAGACAGACCGAAAUUACAAUGUUUUCUUUCCUGUGUAAAAAUUAUAACAUUUACAAAUGAAGUGGGAUGUAGUUCAUAGUCUUCAAUCUAUAAACAAACAUUUUAUUCUUUUUGAAUUAUGUUUUUCCUCUCUUAUUUCCCAAGUAAUCUACAUGUUCUCAAGACAUGGGGAGGAGAAGAAAAGCAACCUUAUCAUUCAGGGAUUACGACCUUCCUUGGCUCCAACGAUUCAACUUUAAAUAUUUACUUGGCAGCUGAUUCAAAUUCAAAUAAACUUGCAGUUAUUGGGUGAAAUAAAGUGUGCCCCAUACUCAAAGCACUUAUAAUGUGUGGAAAUUUUUCAACUGUCCUAAUAUUUAUGUUUCCAGUUUGACCCAGAGUAAGUUGCGUCACUUAUUACAGAAUGACAUGAGGUUACGGCCAACCCCAAAGAUCUCAGUCAAGGAAUCUUCUCUGAUGCUGCAUUUGACUUCCCAGAGUCUGCAAAACUAAGUCCUUCCUGAAAAACAGUGAAUCUAUAUGAUAUGUGUGUGCGUACAGCUUGGUGACGAAUGCCAGGCGUAUUUCUAACAUUUCAGAACAACUCAAAGAACUAGCAACUAGAGAAACCUUCACGUAACCACCUCCACUUCAUAUUAAUUCUUCUCUUCGUCCUCCCUCAAAGUGAUUGGACUAUGUUAUCCUAUUCUUCUUGCGUUCCCCACUUUCCCUAGCAUAGAUUUUAUAUCUACAGAAGCUGGACUUUAACCGCUUUAGAGGGAGGAGCCCUUUACUUACAGCAGAUACUCAGCAGAUAUUUGGGAAGGAACAAAUGAACAAAUGGAUGAAUGAGUGAUUACCUGAUUCAGACAAAGUCCCUUUGCUAACGAGGUCUUCUUGCUACCUAUCUCCUUCACUCCUAGCUCCAAUAUUCUUUGGAAUUCCAAGGUUCUGCAUGCGUGGGAGAGUAUUUGGGUUUGGGGAGACAUCCAAGAACACUACCCACAGCAAGGAUCAGGCACACUUGCACGGUACUAUCCCUUCAUGGCGAAUUGACUAGUGGUCAGUGACAAAUGAAUGCCGAGCAUGUAUCCGUAUCAGAGAUACUCAUAGCACUUGUGUAAAGUUUGCAGCGCUUCUCAUCUGACGCAUUGAUGAUGAGGUUUAUGAACAAACAGAUAUUGUACUAUUAAUGAUUCCGCUUUGAAACAACCGUUUUCUAUUAGUUCUCUCAAGCUCCUGAAUCAGUUUCAUUGAAGAGUAUCCUGAGAUUGCAAGGCAAACUAUUCCUGUGUGGACCAAUAUUUUCUUG